CGGCUCCCAAGCCUGCCAAUCCCGGCCCGCCUUUCUCCGCUCUGUCCAAUCACAGCCGCCCUUUCAAUCCGGGCGCGGUCCCGCCAAUCUCAGCCCGCUCAGUCGCGGCCCGGCCCCUCUUCUUGGUCGCACUCCCCCGUACGCCUGAGGCGCCUCUCCCGCCACCGCCGCUUUCGGAGCCGGCGGAGCUGUGUCCCCGCUGCCGCAGCCUCGGCAGGCGCUGUUGGGGCCGGGAAGGGCGGGCGGGAGCUUCCAGUUCAGGUGUCAGCUCGGCGGUGAAGCUGGAAGCGGUCGGAUGCGCGAUUCGAGGAGCAGGACGGGACCCCCGCGGCACCUGAUCCGGGGAGCGCCGGUGAGCACGGAUGCGACGCCUGCGGUAGUAUCUGGGGGCUGGCGCCGUCCAGUUCUUAUCGCCACACCCUGCGCGUUUCGAGUAGCCGGGGGCUGGUGUGGCUCCUGGAGUGGUGCAGGGGGACACUGGCUGCUGUUACUGCGGGCCGGGAGCUAGACAUCUCCCGGUUUUUGGGUUUAAAUUAAUGUUCAAAAUACCGGAAAUAAAACUGGCUUUUUGCA